rnacentral:rRNA from 1 species
GAUGAACGCUGGCGGCGUGCCUAAUACAUGCAAGUCGAGCGAACGGACGAGAAUCUUGCUUCUUUGAUGUUAGCGGCGGACGGGUGUGUAACGCGUGUAUAAUCUACCUAUAAUACUGGUAUAAUUUCGGGAAACCGGCGCUAAUACCGUAUAAUAUUUUGAUCCACAGUGUUCAAAGGUAAGAUACGGUGUUUCGGUCUGGUAUAGCUGCAUCCGCGCUGCAUUAGCUAGUUGGUAAGGUAACGGCUUACCAAGGCAACGAGGCAUAGCCGACCUGAGGGGGGGAUAGGCCACAUUGGAACUGGGACACGGUCAAGACGACUAAGGGAGGCAGCAGAAGGGAAUCUGCCGCAAUGGGCGAAAACAUGACGGAGUAACGCCGAGUGAGUGACGAAGGUCUUCGGAUCGUAAAACUCUGUUAUGAGGGAAGAACAUAUGUGUAAGUAAAUGUGCACAUCUUGACGGUACCUAAUCAGAAAGCCACGGCUAACUACGUG